UAAUAGACUACCCCGGUAGUCCACGCCCUAAACGAUGCGAACUGGAUGUUGGGUACAUUACGGUACUCAGUGUCGAAGCUAACGCGUUAAGUUCGCCGCCUGGGGAGUACGGUCGCAAGACUGAAACUCAAAGGAAUUGACGGGGGCCCGCACAAGCGGUGGAGUAUGUGGUUUAAUUCGAUGCAACGCGAAGAACCUUACCUGGCCUUGACAUCUGUCGAAUCCUGCAGAGAUGCGGGAGUGCCGCAAGGAACGACAAGACAGGUGCUGCAUGGCUGUCGUCAGCUCGUGUCGUGAGAUGUUGGGUUAAGUCCCGCAACGAGCGCAACCCUUGUCCCUAGUUGCCAGCACGUAAUGGUGGGAACUCUAGGGAGACUGCCGGUGACAAACCGGAGGAAGGUGGGGAUGACGUCAAGUCCUCAUGGCCCUUACGGCCAGGGCUACACACGUACUACAAUGGUCGGUACAGAGGGUUGCGAAGCCGCGAGGUGGAGCCAAUCCCAGAAAACCGAUCCCAGUCCGGAUCGGAGUCUGCAACUCG
rnacentral:rRNA from 1 species